rnacentral:rRNA from 1 species
GACGAACGCUGGCGGCGUGCUUAACACAUGCAAGUCGAACGAAGAGCGAUGGAAGCUUGCUUCUAUCAAUCUUAGUGGCGAACGGGUGAGUAACGCGUAAUCAACCUGCCCUUCAGAGGGGGACAACAGUUGGAAACGACUGCUAAUACCGCAUACGAUCUGACCUCGGCAUCGAGGAUAGAUGAAAGGUGGCCUCUAUUUAUAAGCUAUCACUGAAGGAGGGGAUUGCGUCUGAUUAGCUAGUUGGAGGGGUAACGGCCCACCAAGGCGAUGAUCAGUAGCCGGUCUGAGAGGAUGAACGGCCACAUUGGGACUGAGACACGGCCCAGACUCCUACGGGAGGCAGCAGUGGGGAAUCUUCCGCAAUGGACGAAAGUCUGACGGAGCAACGCCGCGUGAGUGAUGACGGCCCUCGGGUUGUAAAGCUCUGUUAAUCGGGACGAAAGGCCUUCUUGCGAAUAGUUAGAAGGAUUGACGGUACCG